rnacentral:lncRNA from 1 species
CCUUGCUCCCAACACAGGCAGAAAGGUUGGCUGGGAUUGGUGCCCAUCCUCAGGCAUCUUUUGAAGAGAAAGUGCUACCUGCUGCUAUCCUUUCAGUGUUUUCUCAAAGGCAGAGCCUGAAAAAGGUUUUCGCAGGAGGAAACUUCUCUAAACCUCUCUAGCAUCCUGGAGAUUAAAAUAAGUUAUUUUUUUCUCUGCAAAAGAGAUGAGGUGCUCUGAUACCUGAGGGUGGAGUACUGGACCCUUUACAUGAUUAAGAUCCAGAAAAUAUGCUUUUUGCCUACAGCAUUGUAUGUCCCGUGACCAGCCAGUAGUGAUCCAUUAAACAAUGUUACUCAAGGUGGAUUCACUAAGCACCCACUCUGUGCUAGGCCAUACUUCCCAGGCACUGGGGAGCAAAGGUGAGAAAGAUCCAGGACUUACCCUCAAGAAGCUUAUAGUCCAGUGGGAGAGACCAUCACAAGCAAAAAGAAAAAUUAAAUCCAUGCACUCAGGGCUCCAGGAGAACUUUGCUGUGAGUGCACUAGCUGUCCGGGAGCAUCUGGGGUGGCGUCUGCAAGGAAGGGAUGCUUCGGAUGAGUUUUCAAGGAUACACAGGAUUUUAUGAAGUGGCAAAGGCAGGAGUGGGAAGGGAUCUGUGCAUGCAAAGUUCUGGGAAAGAUGUGGAAAAGUUUUGUUUAUUUAAGGAACUAUGAGAACUUUGACGUGACCAGAGGAGCUACCAUGCAGGCAGGGAAGUGCAAAGGAUGAAUCUAGAGCAGAGGUUUUAACCAGGGACAGUUUUGUACCCCAGGGACACUUGUUUGUCACAAAGAGAGGAGCAGCAGUGCUACUAACAUCUAUAGCGCAGAGGCCAGGAAUGCUGCUAAACAUCCUACCAUACUACCGUGUGGACAGCUCCCACAACACCAUGAUCUGGUCCACAACGUCAAUACUGCUGAGACAGAGAAACCCUGAGCAUGGUAGGGUGUUUAGGAGUAUCCCUGGCCUCUCUGCCCACUACAGAGAAGCAGCAGCCACACCACGAAAAAAUGGAGUUCUGUUAGGGGCACUGUGCUUUCUGAGGGUCACACAGAGAAGGCAUCCAGGGGAAGGAAGCCAGGGGAGAGUUGAGCUUUCAGAUUCUGCAAUCUGGAGUCCUCUAUAGCUGUGUUUCAGCUAGCCCUCCCAGCUUUAUUUUCUGUACAUGUUUGAUAAGCCUGCAUCCAGUAUCUGCCUCCAAAUUGUUGACAAAAAUGUUAAAUGCAAAAAUUUCAGGGCAAAUAAUGACUUAGACUCAAAUAAUGCCAUUCAGUUUAUGGGCAUUUUGCAUCCUUCAUCUCAUUUAUAUUCAUUUUACAAAACAGAAAAAUGAAGCUGGGAGAUGUUCUGCAAUCUAGGAAUUAUUUAACUAUAACACGUUCAGCUCCCAUCUCUUCUCCUAGGCUGGUCCCUGAGUGCUCCAAGGACCCAUGCAUCUGACCAUAGGGGAUGCUGGGAGUAUCCUCCAUCCUGGCCUGAAAGAGCUCCCUUUCAGCUUCCUGGAUUCAUAUCUGUACUGUGGGUUCUCUCAACAGGGUGAACAUGAAAAAUAGAAGCCUCCAGUUUCUCCUGAUAGUGUAUAGAUGGGCAGAUCUGGCCUCAAUGGCAGAAGAUACUUGGGGAACUGGAGAAAGUACAGAAGGUGAUGUGAAAUCAAUUGGGUCAUCAAAAGAAGACGGGUGUACCACAAUUUGUUCCUCCACCUGCUGCCCAUGAACAUUUGGAGGGUUUCUAGUUUUUGGCUAUUACAAAUAAAGUUGUCAUGAACAUUUGCAUACAAAU